GGAAUAGCCUCGUUGUUGUAAUGACUCUCGUAUGAACGAGCUUGUUGUGAUGCUAUUAAUGGAUAAUCCAUCCAAGGCAGCAAGUCUUGAUACAAUUUCUUCUAAAUUACAGCUUUUCAAGAAGUUAAAGUUGCUGGGUUGUUUUUGUGAACUCGGGACUGCAUCAGAUGAUUUUUUUUGUCCGUUAUUUUUUCAUGGACUGCUUUUAAAUGAUUGUGGAGGCUGCUCGUGGAUGAUCCUUUGCAAGUUAACAUUUUAUUACAGUAAUUACAACGCGCCUUAUCUUUAUCAACCUUUUUGAAAUAAUUCCAAACAUCUGACAUUUUGGACUAAAAAAAUAAAUAAAUGAAAAUACUUACAAAUCGAUAUUUUUAACAGUAAAAAAUUACAAUAAUAUUAGAUGAAUAAACACUGUAA
rnacentral:lncRNA from 1 species